GCAGUGAGCCUUGGUGGGCCCGAUCACCAAAUGCUUUGAGCAGAAGGGGUUCUGCCUGGUGGCCAUGAAGUUCCUUCGUGCUUCUGAAGAAUACCUGAAGCAACAUUGCACUGACCUGAAAAACUGUCUUUUUUCCUCUGCAUCUGUGAGUAUAUGUGCAGAAGAAUGCAUGUAACUCUGUGGCAUUAUGAAAUCUCACAGCGUCUAACCCUCAGAUCAUCACAUCAAGCUCCUCAGAAGACCCCUGCUUCUGCUUAGUCAUUGUCAACCACAGAACGACAACAUCUGGAAUUUUAUACAGCUGAUAGAAUUUUCUUUUAUCCUUCUCAAAGCUAAGUGUGUUAAAGGGGUUCUAAGCUCAAAUAAUUCCCCUUAUCAAAUAAAGCUAAGUUUCUCAACCUA